rnacentral:rRNA from 1 species
GAUGAACGCUGGCGGCGUGCCUAAUACAUGCAAGUCGAGCGAACAGACGUGGUUUUUUCUCCUCUUUCGUUAUCGUCGGUCGGGUGAUUAACACGUGUCUAACCUACCUUUUUGCCUCGCAUUACUUCUGGAACCCGGAUCUAAUACCGGAUAAUAUAUUGAACCGCAUGGUUCUUUAUUUCUUUACCUUUUUUCUGUUCCUUAUUGAUGGUUCCUCGCCGCAUUAGCUAGUUGUUACGGUAACGGCUUACCAAGGCAACGAUGCGUAGCCGAACUGAGAGGGGGAUCGGCGACAGUGGAACUGAGACAGGGACCAGACUACUACGGGAGGCAGCAGUAGGGAAUCUUCCGAAAUGGGCGAAAGCCUGACGGAGCAACGCCGCGUGAGUGAAGAAGGUCUUCGGAUCGUAAAACUCUGUUAGUAGGGAAGAAGAAAAGUGUAAGUAAAUAUGCACGUCGUGACGGUACCUAAAGAAAAAGCAACGGCUAACUACGUG